UAAAAGAUAAGCUAAAUUUAAGCUAAUGGGUUCAUACCUCAUUUAUGGAAAAAAAAAUCCUCUUUUUA
rnacentral:tRNA from 1 species